UUUGCAUUUUCAAUUGUUUGUUAUAGCGCCAGCAUGUGGCCAAUUGGCAUCGCAUGAGAGGGUGUGGCCCAUGGUCCUUUACCAUCAUGCAAAAUUCACGGAAAUUAGAUUUGUUUUAACCAAAUUGACAGAACCAGUAUAAUAAUAAAUACAAUCGAGUUUCAUCAGCUUAGCUGCUGAACCCCCAACUAGCUGACAUGAGCCACCUAUACUUCCCUACAUGACAGCUUGUCGCUAUCUAUCUUGCCAUCCAGAAUCACAACACACGGCCUUUUAUCCCCAUUGAAGAUUGCGCAUAGUUUUCGUGACGUCAGCUAACCUGUCUAUAAAUUACUUAAAUGUAAAUAACAAAAUAAUGCAUAAAAAAAGUCAGUCACAAAAUUACAUUUUGGGCGGACGGCUCCCCUAGUGGUCGCCUGGAACUAAAACAACAACGGGAGCCAGCUCCACCACGCAGCUCCAACUGGAGGGUUUACACCAGAUUCCCAACUGGAGGGAUGUGACCCCGGAACAGGACGCCUUCGUAAAACAACACACCAUUAAAAUAAAAUACAGAAGAAAGGAAAACUGGACCAGGAGGGAGCUACAGGAGCAGGGGGGAUGAACCGUGAGGAGGCCCCAGGGAAGUCUCCUGAAGAGAUGUACGUCCAGCAAAAGGUGCGGGUCCUGCUCAUGCUGAAGAAGAUGGGAUCAAAUCUGACGCCGAGCGAGGAGGCGUUUCUACGGAAUUACGCAGGCGUGGUCAACGCUCAGAUGAGCCAGCUACCACAGCACAACAUAGACCAGGGUGCGGAGGAUGUGGUGAUGGCUUUUUCACGACAAGAAACCGAAGACCGGCGGCAGUGACCCUGGGGCACUCCCCCAUCGUCUACGGCAACCCAAACUCCACCGACCGACACAACACUGUUGAGUUUCUGGGGAGAGGAUGGGCACCUGUGAUGGAUGGAAGGAGGGUGGGAAGGAGCACUGGGUGUUGGUUACCUUUCGCUCUCCCCCUCCCUUUCAACCAGCCUCCUUCCCAUUCAAACGGAUACACCAUUGCCCCAGCCACAGUAGGUAUGCAUUACCAUGGGUUAGGGCCUUGGUGUCGAGCAAGUCGAUGAAAACACUUACAAGUUGUGUGAAUGCAAACCUUGUCUUUUUGUCUCUUUUUAUUUUUUAUUUUUUUAUCGGGCAGUGUUGUUUUCGUAUCUGCUCUACUCAAUGGUAGAACUGACCAAGGACAUAAUUUUUCCGUCAAAUGAAAGAGAGAAGCGUGAGUGUUUUUAACUAAUGACCUUGCGGGAAAAUAAUUCAUUACUUUCUUUGGUUGAAUUAUAUAUAUUUUUUAACUGUACACAGGGUCCCUGUAGGUGGAAAGGUUAAAAACGUGUUUAAUGGUUUUCAUAUUCUUUCAAACCAAUUGUACUUCUUCCUGCUUAUUGUUGAUUUGAACAAUAGGCUGUUGAGAUGUCAACUUGGCUUCCCAUUCGGGACAUUAGAAUCAAUGACACUAGCACAAACACACACAGUUCACAUAGGUGCAGAUGGUCUUUCCCCAAGCAAACAAGGUCUUGGGGUUAUUGUGAAAUUAUAUAACUUUUUUUUAUUGUACAGAUAUUAGAGGGAAAAUACAAUAAUAAUGAAUUGAUUGUGCCAAUUAUUAUUUUAUUUUUUUUAUCUGUAAAAUAAAUGUAACAUGAUUUUUAAAAGUUGCCUGACGAGGGACAUAGCGUAGUUCUAAUUUAUUAUUGAUAGAAUUGACUCUCUCCCAAACUAUUGUUUAGGGAAAAAAAAUCAUCAUUAGAAGAAAGUCUACACGGAUCGAAACGCCUAAUCUUAUCAAAAGAAUCCAAUAGCAUAAUAUUGUCACUCUUUAGAUUGGACAAAGCUUACUCUUGACUCACACUAAUAUAAUUAUAUCAACUCGAACCACAUCCAUGGAGCUACUAGAAACAUGGUGAAUACUCGCAAAAGAAACUACAGUGUUUUUACUGCCUCCUCAUACCCUUCAGCAAUUGACGUGCUGUAAACAAAACCGAUCUGUUUUCUGUGUUCGUUGAUUGCAACUGGAAUCUUUCCAUUCAAUUAUUUGUAGUUUUUUUUCAAUCCGACUUUUUUUGUUGUUGUUUUGUAGUAACAUACUCUAUAUUUAAUGUGUGGAAGUACCUUUUUGUUAACUCGCUUAACUUAAACAAUUGUGACUUGAUGUUUUGAAACCAAGCAUGCCUGCCUUGUGGUUAACAGUGUACAUUUUAAGUAGAUCUGGGAGGGUCUUGAAAGCCGUGCCACAAUGACCAUUGCUUGUACAUUCUCAAAGUUUAUGGACGCUACUAGCUCUUUAAAAAACAUUUCAGAAAAAUAGUCAGCUAUUUAAAAAAACAAAAAAAUGUCAUCCAUGUUAUCCUGUUGGCAAUAAUUUCAGGAUCAAAUUUCCUCAGCGAUCAUGGCUACAUACAUUGCCAACAAAUAGUUACAGUAUCUGCCUAUGACAAAAGUUUGUCCUUUUUAAUGUUUACUCUUGUUUAACUUUCUUGAACCUAAUUUCUCUGUGCAUUGUUUUGCUUUCAUCUUAAAGACAACAAUGCAAAGGUAUCUUAUAUACUAUACCUGUCAUAGUUGACCAACAGCCUUCAUUUUUAAUCUUUGUGUGUUUGAGUGCGUGCAUGUGUGUGAUUUCCUCUGUUCAAAAAUUAUACAAAUCAGAUUUUUCAGCAUGCUGUUCAGUAUGACUAGAGCUGUGUAUCUUUCAAUGUGAUGACCUGUCUUUGCCUAGUUGUCGUUUGAGUUAUUUUGUGUUGCCUUUGUAUUUCUCUGUUGACAUCGAUUAGUUGGUUCUUGCUGUAUGGCUGCUGACUAAAUGCUUCCAAAUCCUAUACCAAUUGAACCAUUAAAGGAAUUUUUAAAAACAAA
ensembl:lncRNA